UGCCAGCAGCCGCGGUAAAACGUAGGGGGCGAGCGUUAUCCGGAAUUACUGGGCGUAAAGGGCGUCUAGGCGGCCUGUUAAGUUCGGCGUGAAAGCUCCCGGCUCAACUGGGAGAGGGCGUUGGAAACUGGCAGGCUUGAAUCUUGGAGAGGUGCGUGGAAUUCCCGGUGGAGUGGUGGAAUGCGUUGAGAUCGGGAGGAACACCAGAGGCGAAGGCGACGCACUGGCCAACGAUUGACGCUGAAGCGCGACAGCGUGGGGAGCGAACGGGAUUAGAUA
rnacentral:rRNA from 1 species